GACGAACGCUGGCGGCGUGCCUAAUACAUGCAAGUCGAACGCAGUGGGGACGGGUGAGUAACACGUGGGUAACCUCCCAUCAGAGGGGAUAACACUUGGAAACAGGUGCUAAACCGAUACUGAUGGAUGGACCCGCGGUGCAUUAGCUAGUUGGUGAGGUAACGGCUCACCAAGGCCACGAUGCAGAGCAGGCGUGAGAGGGUGAUCGGCCACACUUGGACUGGGACGGGGCGGAGACUCCUACGAGUGGCAGCAGUGGUGAAGCUUCGGCAAUGGACGAAAGUCUGACCGAGCAACGCCGCGUGCGGGAAGAAGUUGUUCGGAACGUAAAACACUGUUGUUAGAGAGGCGGUUGCCAACCAGACAGCCACGGCUAACUACGUGCCAGCAGCCGCGGUAAUAC
rnacentral:rRNA from 1 species